AACGAACGCUGGCGGCAUGCCUAACACAUGCAAGUCGAACGAGACCUUCGGGUCUAGUGGCGCACGGGUGCGUAACGCGUGGGAACCUGCCCUUAGGUUCGGAAUAACUCCCCGAAAGGGGUUCUAAUACCGGAUAAUGUCUUCGGACCAAAGAUUUAUCGCCUUUGGAUGGGCCCGCGUUGGAUUAGCUAGUUGGUAGGGUAAAAGCCUACCAAGGCGACGAUCCAUAGCUGGUCUGAGAGGAUGAUCAGCCACACUGGGACUGAGACACGGCCCAGACUCCUACGGGAGGCAGCAGUGGGGAAUAUUGGACAAUGGGCGAAAGCCUGAUCCAGCAAUGCCGCGUGAGUGAUGAAGGCCUUAGGGUUGUAAAGCUCUUUUACCCGGGAUGACAAUGACAGUACCGGGAGAAUAAGCUCCGGCUAACUCCGUG
rnacentral:rRNA from 1 species